rnacentral:tRNA from 1 species
ACGGGCGUGCGGGGCGGCGGUGCCCGCGCCGGUGCUCGUGUCGGUGGAAGCCACGGCGGCGCUCCUGUUCUGUCGGGGACGCCCGUGC